rnacentral:rRNA from 1 species
GUGCCAGCCGCCGCGGUAAUACGUAGGGGGCAAGCGUUGUCCGGAUUUAUUGGGCGUAAAGAGCGUGUAGGCGGCCAGACAGGUCCGUUGUGAAAACUCGAGGCUCAACCUCGAGACGUCGAUGGAAACCGUCUGGCUAGAGUCCGGAAGAGGAGAGUGGAAUUCCUGGUGUAGCGGUGAAAUGCGCAGAUAUCAGGAAGAACACCUAUGGCGAAGGCAGCUCUCUGGGACGGUACUGACGCUGAGACGCGAAAGCGUGGGGAGCGAACAGGAUUAGAUACCCCCGUAGUCC